GACGUCGAUAUUCGACGUCAUAAACACGAUCAAGUUUGCUGCUUAUGACGUCGAUAUUCGACGUCAUAAACACGAUCAAGUUUGGUGUUUAUGACGUCGAUAUUGGACGUCAUAAACACGAUCAACUUAGGUGUUUAUGACGUCGAUAUUCGACGUCAUAUACACGAUACACGAACAGCAAAGAUGGUUAUGACGUCGAUAUUUGACGUAAUAAACACGAUCAACUUUGGUGUUUAUGAUGUCGAUAUUCGACGUC
rnacentral:miRNA from 1 species